rnacentral:lncRNA from 1 species
AAAGCCUGACUAAGAAAUUACUUUUGUUUUAGAGAAACCAGGAUUUGCAUUUUAGCAGCUAAGUAUGUCCUGCAUUCAAACCAAAGGACAUCUAAGAGGCAGGACAAAGAAAAAAGAGCACAGUCUUCAUCAGCUCUCGUCCACUGAUGUCAGCAAUGAGAGAUGGUGAGAGGCAUCCGAACCAAGCUCCUGCAGGAGAAGGGCAGAGAGGGGACAGAAAACGAUGAGGGAGAACUGAGCUGUUGGAUAUUGCUCCAGAUCAGGAAUUACAGCUUGGCUCCUGAAGCACCAGGUAUAACUGCUACACUUAAGUGGUCUUGUCAAAUGCGAGAAAAAGAACAUUGCUCUCUCCUUUCUGCCUCUUUUUUUUCUUAAAUUUUGGACAAAAUUUUCUCUUUGUUCUUACCCUUACUUCUGCAAAAAUGUACUAAAAUUUGUGGUUUUCAAAGACACACAUCGCCAUUUUCUCCAUCUAACACAGAAGGAGGUACAUUAGUGCCUGGCCAUUAACUUCUGUAAACCACUUCCUGCUGUUUCUGCGGGAUUCUUUGGGCAAAGUUUGCUGUUCAUCAUGAAAAAGGUUGCAUGGAACAGCCCGUUGUAUGUAAAUAGUUCCACUACCCAGCAGUGCCCUCCACUAACCAAGUACCAGGCAGCACAGGAGUUGCCUUGUCUGUUAUGCAGAAGCAUUGCCAGGGAGCAAGACUGGUGAAUUGUUAGACAGAUUAGUGGAUGGUUAAUCUUAUUUGACAUUUAAAGCACUUUGAGGUAAAUUUAGUGUUCACCUGCCCUAAAGUGUACAGCAUGAAUAUGCUUCUACGUAUCUAUUCCUGUUCAAACGAGUAGCUCUAAUGACUGGAGGACAAACAAUACCUGGCACAAAGAGAUCAUUCAGGCAAAAUAAUGAAAAGGGAGCAGACAAACGUGCAUCCUGGCUUUAAGCCUCUGCUGUUUCCUCACACUGAAUCAUGAAUUCCAUUAUUUCUCAUCCUGAUACAGACGAACUCUCUUUAACUUACAAAUUCUUCUAGCAUGACUAAAUUCUGAUCUAUUUCGGAUUUUAAUAUGUCUGAGCUCCAUUUUCUGUGGCUCCA